UACGAAGGUGGCAAGCGUUAUUCGAAAUCACUGGGCUUAAAGGGCGCGUAGGCGGACAUGAAAGUGCUUUGUGAAAUCCCCCGGCUUAACCGGGGAAUUGCUUGGGAUACUCCAUGUCUUGAGGCAAGCAGGGGUGUGUGGAACUCUUGGUGGAGCGGUGGAAUGCGUAGAUAUCAAGAGGAACGCCGAAGGUGAAGACAGCACACUGGGCUUGUACUGACGCUGAGGCGCGAAAGCGUGGGGAGCAAACAGG
rnacentral:rRNA from 1 species